UCCCGGCUGGCUCAGACAGUAAAGAAUCUGCCUGCAACGCAGGAGACCUGAGUUCAAUCCCUGGGUCGGGAA
rnacentral:tRNA from 1 species